GCCCGGAUAGCUCAGCGGUAGAGCAACACUUUUGUAAAGUGAAGGUCGUCGGUUCAAAUCCGACUCCGGGCU
rnacentral:tRNA from 1 species